rnacentral:rRNA from 1 species
GACGAACGCUGGCGGCGUGCUUAACACAUGCAAGUCGAACGGAAAGGCCCUGCUUUUGUGGGGUGCUCGAGUGGCGAACGGGUGAGUAACACGUGAGUAACCUGCCCUUGACUUUGGGAUAACUUCAGGAAACUGGGGCUAAUACCGGAUAGGAGCUCCUGCUGCAUGGUGGGGGUUGGAAAGUUUCGGCGGUUGGGGAUGGACUCGCGGCUUAUCAGCUUGUUGGUGGGGUAGUGGCUUGCCAAGGCUUUGACGGGUAGCCGGCCUGAGAGGGUGACCGGCCACAUUGCGACUGAGGUGCGGCCCAGACUCGUACGGGAGGCAGCAGUGGGAAAUAUUGCACAGUGGUCGGGAGCCUGAUGCAGCAGCGCCGCGGUCGGGAUGACGGCCUGCGGGUUGUAAACCGCUUUCGCCUGUGACGAAGCGUGAGUGACGGUAAUGGGUAAAGAAGCACCGGCUAACUACGUG